UCCAUCAAUACUAUGUUUACUCUGGCUGUUGAAAUUGGUGGAGUUGAAUAUUCAGGAACUGCUAGAAACAAAAAAGAUGCAAAAAAAGCAGCAGCUAAAGCAGCAUUACUGGCAUUGUAUAACUUGACCUAUCCAGAAGAUAUUAAUGAGCAGGAUUAGAUAACAAUUGAUUAAAACAAUAUCUAAUUGAUAGUUCAUAACAUGAACAAUAUCUAAUUUAACGGAAACAAAUGGAAUAUUUAAUAAUAGAAUACGGAAAAAACUACAGCGAGAAAGCCAUACAAAAUUAAAAUUCUGAAUUGCCUCAAGGAUGACGUUUAUGAAAUGAGUUGCCAGAUGUUUCCGCCGCGCUUUUGAAAUCUCUCGUGUCAAAGAAGAGCGAUUAUGAGAACUUUCUAUGUACGCUAUUACUACUAAGCAGUAUUAAAAUAUACCUAUAUAUAAAAGAAAAGAAAAAAAGAUGCUAUCAAAUUUGUAAAUAACGUGUGCAAUAGAUCUUGUUGGAAAAAAUCACAUCUGACUUCCUGGGAUGUAUAUCAGAAAACAACAACUGUGCUAUAAACAAAUCCAUAAUAACGUCACUCGGAUUUCUGCGUUACAAGAAUGUGAAUCUACUUGAUGCGUUCUGUAACACGUUCU